rnacentral:tRNA from 1 species
UGUAGCCCAGUUGGUAGAGCAUUUGCCUAGUAUGCAAGAAGGUCUGGGCUCCAUUCCCAGCA